rnacentral:lncRNA from 1 species
GACGUAAAGAGAGGUUCAUUUCAUAUAACAAGAGUCAUUACAAAUGGAGCAAACAUUGGCAUUUAGCCUAAGACAAUGGUUCCCAAUAACCAAGAUACCCAACAUAAGCGAUCAACCCUUCAUUUAUGCUUCAGCCACUAUCGAAAAAUAUUAGUACGGAUGAUCUUCGUUAUUGAACGACCUCCGUUUUCACUGAAGACCUUGCUUACAAGGAGAAAAAUAGUGAAGCACGAGACGGAGUCAAGCAUCCUCAAUCGCCAAUUGGGAGACAUCGUAAGAGAGCGGAGGCUCAGAGCCACCCCAAACCGACCAGAAUCAACCAUCGAUGACAUUUAACCUUGAUUAGCAACCAAACAGUGAAGCGGCAGAGAUCUUGGAUCUAGCGGAAAACAAAACAACAAAGCAAUAUCUGGAGGCUUUUGGCACCACCAUCCAUCCACCAUCCGAAAGUCGCAACAAAAAAACUCUCACCUAAAGUGGAGGACAUCACCAACACCGAAACACUGCACUGAUCCCUCCUUAACAAACGCCCGCUCAAAAGAAGAGAAACGAGCCACAAAAGCUCAAACAAGGCCCCCAAAAGGGGUUAUUAAACUGAGAGGAGGCAUAAAAAAGACAGCAGGAAAAAGUAAGGGACAACCAACCACUGGUGGCAGGUGGUUGACAAUCUAAAGCAAGCAUAGGUGGAAAGAGCUGGAGCGGUGCUUAUGGUUUCAAAGAAAACAAAGAGUUUUAAGUUCUAUAUUAGUAGUACCUCAUUGAACUAUCUAUAUUAGUAGUACCUCAUUGAACUAUCUUCUUUUUC